rnacentral:rRNA from 1 species
UACGUAGGGUGCAAGCGUUGUCCGGAAUUAUUGGGCGUAAAGAGCUCGUAGGCGGCUCAGAAAGUCGGGUGUGAAACCUCCAGGCUCAACCUGGAGACGCCACCUGAUACUGCUGUGGCUAGAGUCCGGUAGGGGAGCACGGAAUUCCCGGUGUAGCGGUGAAAUGCUUAGAUAUCGGGAGGAACACCAGUGGCGAAGGCGGUGCUCUGGGCCGGAACUGACGCUGAGGAGCGAAAGCGUGGGUAGCAAACAGG